CUUCUGAUUGAGGGACGGACUGCUUGCCUGAGCCACAGCCGCCCGUAUGAACCUACUAUGGUCAUACAGUAUAUUUUGAUUUGGAUAAAAUGUGUAUUAUCUGCAUUACUAAUCUAGCAGCUGCAAUUUUUGAUAACCAGAACCAAAAAAGUUCGAGUAAAACUGAGAGACAACAGGUUGCACUUUCUUUUCCAUGAUUCUUAAUUAUCUACUAACAUCACGUUUAAGUUCAGUGUCUCAUUUAUAAAUCCAAAAGUUGUGACAGACAAGCAACAUUAAUGACUUAAUAAGACUAACUUGUUCUUCAAACAUUGUGCUUUGAGAAGCGCUCUGGACUUGUUACGAUUCCUAAAAAGAUUAAGUUCAUCGAAGGUCAGUCAUGUGAAGGGUGGUGAAAUGCAUUUCUACAGCCUCUACUGAAACAAUAAAGUGUUGCAGCUGUUGUCAAGUGUGAGAGGUAAGGUCAGGGACUUUAAAUUAUCACUCACCACUGUUCUGCCCAGCAAGGUCUACACCCUUUGUCUCAUGGUGUCGUCAUGGCAUUGUUCCCUUUCCUUUGGCCUUGAGGACAAAGAUAACCCUGUGAAAUUCUUGCCUGGAUUUUUUCUGUCUGAUUGAGAAGGGCAGCCUAUGAGGCAGCGAUAUAGCUGAAGUGCAGUCUCUGAUGUCAUGAUGGAUGAGUGGUAACAGGUGCAUAGCACUGUAACUUUGCCCAGACACCUCCCUUUAUUCUUGAGCACAAUUCAAUUUUGUUCUCAUUUAUUAAUUUUUACUCCAUUAUGGUUUCAAUCAGAAUAUACAGUACAAUGGUCAGUCUAAUUUUUUGGAACAUCAGUUAAAAAAAACAUUUAAAUGAGCACUCCUUCAAGGAGAAAAACAAAUGAGAAUGGAAUGCUAUCCAUUCUCACCUCUUAGCAAAUUAAGCCAUAUUUUGUUUACUCCUGUAAAAUGAGAAUGAUGAGUGCUGAACAAUUUUCCAAGUUGAUCAGAAUUUGUUUUCACAUUUUGGACUUAUUCUUAUUCUCAGCUGUAUAAAUCCCUGCGGAAAUCUUCAUCUGUUUUGCGUCCCCUUCCUGGCUUUGGAGUUGUAACCAGAUUCCUCUAAGAUAUCUUUAAGCCUUGAAGGACAGGCCAUGUGAGAUCAAGGUCAACAUGCAGUGCUGGGCAAGUGUCAUGCUGAUAUCCACCUCUCACUUGGCUCUCUCUGACAGUGUAAGAACUGUAGCAUCAGUCCCUCCUUUGUGCUACUGCAGCAGAAGAAUAAGAGUUCUAGUACUUUGAAGACAAAGGAGACUACAGCCAAGGAGAUCCCAAAGGUCUUAGGUGGCCAUCUGUGAGUUUCACUCCUCCUCUAGCCCUUUCUGUGAUGAAGAAUGAUAAUAGAGUAGACAAAGAGAGAUGGAUUAGGGGACCACCAAGACUCAGCAAGUGUUAUACAAGGUAGUACACCAGAACUAAAUUUUGUUUAGUAACUUGUAAUAUUCAAGAUGUUUUAAGUUAGUGAUUGUGACAUUAAUUUUACAUGACAAAGGUUUAUUUUACUGUCAGCAUUCCUUUACUGUAGUAUGUUUAAACAAUGUAGCACUUAAUGCAUUUGAAGGAAGAUGUUUUAAAAUGUAUAUAAAAGCUAAAGAUCCAAGUUUAGCUUUAGUUACAUCUCAAGCCAUUUUUGUUGACACUGUGAAAACUGAUUCCAAGCUUGAGUUCAGUGUAAAUCAUUUAUCUAUUUUUUAAAUAAUUUAUCUAAAAUAGGUUAACAAAAAUGUGGGUAAGUAUGCCAACACAGCCACAACAUUAGCAUGUUUCACUCACUGCAUAUGAGCAAAUAAGAACAGUAGGAACUAGUGAGAACGUAACACAAACCCAGUGCUCUCACAACAUCAUUUAACAUUGUUUGUUUGUUAUUUUGUUUACAUUUAUUUGAUUGGUAUGUUUCUUGAUGUCUCUGCAUUCCCAAAAAAUCACAUUGAUUUUCCUAAAUAGUUAAAUAGUAUAUUAAAAAUGUUAAUUUAGGGGCACCUUGGGUUAAGGUGCUAACCAUGAGCCAUCCCUGGUUCGAGUUUGGCCAGGGAGGUGACCUUUGUUGCAUGUCGUCCCAUUUCUCUUCUCUAUCCCCUCUUUCUGUCAUAUCUUUACUGUCAACUCACUAAUAAAGGCAUGAAAUGGCCAGAAAUAAACAGUUUUUAAAAAACAAUGUCAGCUUCUUUCUAUGUCACAAAAAAAUACAUUACUACUAACAUAUUAAAUUCCACUAAUGCAACUUACCAAAUACAUUAACAAAUUCAGAAUAAAAGUGAUCAAUUCAAAGACCGGUCUGGUUUAU